GACGAACGCUGGCGGCGUGCUUAACACAUGCAAGUCGAACGGAAAGGCCCUGCUUUUGUGGGGUGCUCGAGUGGCGAACGGGUGAGUAACACGUGAGUAACCUGCCCUUGACUUUGGGAUAACUUCAGGAAACUGGGGCUAAUACCGGAUAGGAGCUCCUGCUGCAUGGUGGGGGUUGGAAAGUUUCGGCGGUUGGGGAUGGACUCGCGGCUUAUCAGCUUGUUGGUGGGGUAGUGGCUUACCAAGGCUUUGACGGGUAGCCGGCCUGAGAGGGUGACCGGCCCCAUUGGGACUGAGAUACGGCCCAGACUCCUACGGGAGGCAGCAGUGGGGAAUAUUGCACAAUGGGCGGAAGCCUGAUGCAGCAACGCCGCGUGCGGUAUGACGGCCUUCGGGUUGUAUACCGCUUUCGCCUGUGACGAAGCGUGAGUGACGGUAAUGGGUAAAGAAGCACCGGCUAACUACGUG
rnacentral:rRNA from 1 species